rnacentral:lncRNA from 1 species
AUUUGCUGUUGAUAAUUCUUCCCAUAUUUGUGCCAUUUAAUGUCCCUAGAAAAGGAAUAUAAAUCAGAUAUAAACUCUAGGAAUAUUAGGAAUUUAUAUGGAGAAAUAAAAGGUAAGAAUUUCCCUUAAUUUCCUUGAUGUUUGCUGCAUUAUCUCCAUAUAAAUUCGGCUGGAAACCCUAAAAAGAUGGUGCCAUUCUCCUCCUUUUAUGUGACAGAAUUUCGGCCUAAUCCACGUAGGAUUUGGUUUCCUUGCUUCAUGUGGAAUCCCUGUCUCAAGAGGAAAGAAAGUUUCCAAAAUAAUUCAGGAAAGUCAAAAUAGGAAAGAUUCAAAGUUAGUAAGUUUCCCCAAUCAAAAUAUGAAAGUUUCCCAAAAUGAAAUAGGAAAGUUUCUCCUUAUCAAAACAGGAAAAUUUCCUAGACGACUUAUCCUUCUUAAUCCGCCGGUUUUAGCUUCAUUUUUCACUUUUCCGCUCUUUUACCUUUACAAUCACAAAAUAUGUUUAAAAUGACAAUGUUAAGAGAAUAAGAUAACUAAAUAAGGUAGGAAAUACAUUAAUAUCGUAGCACUUUGUGCUCCUAUCACACUUAAGAGCUAGAACACAACUGCAUCCUAAUAACAAAGAAGGCUUGAAGAGAGUAAUCUUUAAACUCUUGAAAAGACCGAUGCCAAGAGAGAUGCACAAAAAUGAACCCUUUCCCACAUCCUCACAAGUUUCCUCAAAAAUUAUCUGUGCCUAUCCCUCCAAAUCAUCUAAAGGACAGCCAGCAAAGCACAUCUACCCAAUACUAGACAACUUUUCAUUCCUCCGAAGUCCGAACAAUUUGCAAAAGAUAAAACGUAAAUAAGUGCACUCACAGCAGUGAAGUUGAAUGGCUCCAUUGGAUUCCAACAAAUAGAAUUUGUAUUUGUCUGUCAAAAGAAAAUACAAGUUAGAAGCGCAAAGCUCCCCUUCAAGAAACAAGGUUUACUAAUUUAACCACAAACCACAUUAAAAGUAAGAAAGGGAAGUUUAAAAACAGCCAGCACCAAAUUA